rnacentral:rRNA from 1 species
AGAGUUUGAUCCUGGCUCAGGAUGAACGCUGGCGGCGUGCCUAAUACAUGCAAGUCGAACGCACUGUGGUUCAACUGAUUUGAAGAGCUUGCUCUGAUAUGACGAUGAACAUUGCAGUGAGUGGCGAACGGGUGAGUAACACGUGGGAAACCUACCUCUUAGCGGGGGAUAACAUCUGGAAACAGAUGCUAAUACCGCAUAACACUAGCAACCGCAUGGUUGCUACUUGAAAGAUGGUUCUGCUAUCACUAAGAGAUGGUCCUGCGGCGCAUUAGUUAGUUGGUGAGGUAAUGGCUCACCAAGACGAUGAUGCGUAGCCGAGUUGAGAGACUGAUCGGCCACAAUGGGACUGAGACACGGCCCAUACUCCUACGGGAGGCAGCAGUAGGGAAUCUUCCACAAUGGACGAAAGUCUGAUGGAGCAACGCCGCGUGUGUGAUGAAGGGUUUCGGCUCGUAAAACACUGUUGUAAGAGAAGAAUAGCAUCAAGAGUAACUGCUUGGUGUGUGACGGUAUCUUACCAGAAAGGAACGGCUAAAUACGUGCCAGCAGCCGCGGUAAUACGUAUGUUCCAAGCGUUAUCCGGAUUUAUUGGGCGUAAAGCGAGCGCAGACGGUUUUUUAAGUCCGAAGUGAAAGCCCACAGCUUAACUGUGGAAGUGCUUUGGAAACUGGAUGACUUGAGUGCAGUAGAGGAGAGUGGAAUUUCCAUGUGUAGCGGUGAAAUGCGUAGAUAUAUGGAGGAACACCAGUGGCGAUGCCGGCUCUCUGGACUGUUACUGACGUGAGGCUCGAAAGUGUGGUAGCAAACAGGAU